rnacentral:rRNA from 1 species
AGUUACGCUAAUACCGCAUACGACCUGAGGGUGAAAGUGGGGGACCGCAAGGCCUCACGCGAUUGGAGCGGCCGAUGUCAGAUUAGCUAGUUGGUGGGGUAAAGGCCCACCAAGGCGACGAUCUGUAGCGGGUCUGAGAGGAUGAUCCGCCACACUGGGACUGAGACACGGCCCAGACUCCUACGGGAGGCAGCAGUGGGGAAUUUUGGACAAUGGGGGCAACCCUGAUCCAGCCAUGCCGCGUGCGGGAAGAAGGCCUUCGGGUUGUAAACCGCUUUCGGACGGAAAGAAAUCGCAUGGGCUAAUACCCUGUGUGGAUGACGGUACCGUAAGAAGAAGCACCGGCUAACUACGUGCCAGCAGCCGCGGUAAUACGUAGGGUGCGAGCGUUAAUCGGAAUUACUGGGCGUAAAGCGUGCGCAGGCGGAUUGUUAAGCAAGACGUGAAAUCCCCGGGCUUAACCUGGGAAUGGCGUUUUGAACUGGCAGUCUAGAGUGCGUCAGAGGGGGGUGGAAUUCCACGUGUAGCAGUGAAAUGCGUAGAGAUGUGGAGGAACACCGAUGGCGAAGGCAGCCCCCUGGGAUGACACUGACGCUCAUGUACGAAAGCGUGGGUAGCAAACAGGAUUAGAUACCCUGGUAGUCCACGCCCUAAACGAUGUCAACUGGUUGUUGGGGGAGUGAAAUCCCUUAGUAACGAAGCUAACGCGUGAAGUUGACCGCCUGGGGAGUACGGUCGCAAGAUUAAAACUCAAAGGAAUUGACGGGGACCCGCACAAGCGGUGGAUGAUGUGGAUUAAUUCGAUGCAACGC